rnacentral:rRNA from 1 species
CUACCAGGGUUUCUAAUCCUGUUUGCUCCCCACGCUUUCGCACCUCAGCGUCAGUAAUGGACCAGUAAGCCGCCUUCGCCACUGGUGUUCCUCCGAAUAUCUACGAAUUUCACCUCUACACUCGGAAUUCCACUUACCUCUUCCAUACUCAAGAUACCCAGUAUCAAAGGCAGUUCCGCAGUUGAGCUGCGGGAUUUCACCCCUGACUUAAAUAUCCGCCUACGUGCGCUUUACGCCCAGUAAUUCCGAACAACGCUAGCCCCCUUCGUAUUACCGCGGCUGCUGGCAC